GAGCGCGUAGCUCAGCGGGAGAGCGCUUGCCCGACACGCAAGAGGUCGCUGGUUCGAUCCCAGCCGCGCUCACCA
rnacentral:tRNA from 1 species